CAGUAGCCGCGGGAAAACGUAGGUGGCAAGCGUUGUCCGGAAUUAUUGGGCGUAAAGGGCUCGCAGGCGGUUUCUUAAGUCUGAUGUGAACGCCCCCGGCUCAACCGGGGAGGGUCAUUGGAAACUGGGAAACUUGAGUGCAGAAGAGGAGAGUGGAAUUCCACGUGUAGCGGUGAAAUGCGUAGAGAUGUGGAGGAACACCAGUGGCGAAAGCGACUCUCUGGUCUGUAACUGACGCUGAGGAGCGAAAGCGUGGGGAGCGAACAGGAUUAGAUACCCGCGUAGUCCCUGUCUCUUAUAC
rnacentral:rRNA from 1 species